rnacentral:ncRNA from 2 species
GUACACUUAUAGGGGAGCUUUGUGCUGAGAGGAAAGUAAUCUGCUUUCGACCCUUCGACCUGAUAUGGGUAAUGCCAUCGUAGGAAUUAAUUCAUGCAAUUUA